rnacentral:lncRNA from 1 species
UUAACUGUUGAGAAAAGUCGUGACAGUUUAAUUGCAAAUGAAAUUUACUUCUACCUUUAGCCCGCAAGCAGCUCUCUAAACGUAAACCAGAGGAAGAUGACAACAGCUAUUAUUCCCAUGAAAAUCGCAGUAGUAAAAGAUGGAAGAAAGACCUUGAUGGAGAUGAUUCUGAAGAUAAAACCAAUGAGAAACCCGUGGAAGUGGAAAAAGUUAAAAGUGAGAAUGCAACAUUGGUGGAGCAUAAAACAGACAAAAAUGCAAAGGAAAAAGAAAUCCCAGAUUCCUCUAAGCCAUCCAGCAAGUCCAUUUCUAGUUUCUUUGCUCCCAAGAAAAGUUCUGUGAAAAUAGAAAAGAAGCAAGCAUCUGUAGUAUCAGAAAACAUGCCAAUACCAAAGUGUCUUAAUAAAGUUAGUAAUGAUGAAUCCAAUAGUAU